CCCUGAAUUAAAAAGAAAGAUUGGAUCAAGCCAGACCCCAAAGAUAAGAAUGUUGUUCAUUGUGUAGUCUGUGAAUCCAAUUGUAAGCUAAAGAAUCCUAACAAAGCUGGUUUGUUAAGCCACAAAAUUACCUCAAAGCAUAUAAAAAACUAUGAAUCAAAGAAAAAGUGUGUGAAUAUUCAGUAUUUCUUAAAGAAAUCAGUGGAAGACCUGAAAGAUAAAGUUAACAAUGCAGAAUUAUUGUUGUGGAUAUAUGGCAGAACAUGGAAUAGCAUUUUCCUAGGCAGACCAUUUGGUUGAGUUAAUGAAAAAGAUGUUUCCUGACUGUGAAACUGCCAAGAAAAUGACUAUGAAAAAAACAAAAGCCUCAUAUGUCAUGCAGUAUGGAUUAGCGUAGGAAGAACGGGAAGAUGUUACGGAGAUCUAGUUGUUUUUCGGUCAGUCUAGUCUUUUUCGGAGGGACAAUCUUGUGUUUUCUGAAAUUCUAGAGUGGCAACACUGGUGAGAAACCUCGGCCAUUGUUAGCUGUAUGUGUUGAGAUUGACAGUUUUUGAAGCUUUGUGGAGCAGAGGUGCACCAUGGCUUGCCACAAGGUGACAACUGGUCCCUGGAGAGCCGCUGGUGGUGACGGGCUGCCUGUGCCCUCUCUGCGGCAAAACUCCACAAAUACUCCACUCACCAAGUUCCAGAGGGAGAGAUUGUGUUAAGAAUAUGGAGAAAGACAGACCAAGGCAA
rnacentral:lncRNA from 1 species